rnacentral:rRNA from 1 species
AAAAGAACCCCGGGAGGGGAGUGAAAUAGAUCCUGAAACCGCAUACAUACAAACAGUAGGAGCCUCGUUAAGGGGUGACUGCGUACCUUUUGCAUAAUGGGUCAGCGACUUACGUUUAAUGGCGAGCUUAACCGUAUAGGGGAGGCGCAGCGAAAGCGAGUUCGAACAGAGCGUUCAGUCGUUAGGCGUAGACCCGAAACCAGAUGAUCUAUCCAUGGCCAGGUUGAAGGUGUGGUAACACACACUGGAGGACCGAACCGACUAGUGUUGCAAAAUUAGCGGAUGAGCUGUGGAUAGGGGUGAAAGGCUAAACAAAUCUGGAGAUAGCUGGUUCUCCCCGAAAACUAUUGAGGUAGUGCCUCGUGUAUGACUCCAGGGGGUAGAGCACUGUUAUGGCUAGGGGGACAUGGCGUCUUACCAAACCAUGGCAAACUCCGAAUACUUGGAAGUUUGAGCACGGGAGACAGAGCACCGGGUGCUAACGUCCGGACUCAAGAGGGAAACAACCCAGACCGCCGGCUAAGGUCCCUAAUAUUGACUAAGUGGAAAACGAAGUGGAAAGGCUAAGACAGUCAGGAAGUUGGCUUAGAAGCAGCCAUCCUUCAAAGAAAGCGUAAUAGCUCACUGAUCGAGUCUUUCUGCGCGGAAGAUGUAACGGGGCUAAGUCAAUAACCGAAGCCGCGGAUUCACACUUGUGUGUGAGUGGUAGGGGAGCGUUCUGUAAGCCUGCGAAGGUGACUCGUAAGGGUUGCUGGAGGUAUCAGAAGUGCGAAUGCUGACAUGAGUAACGUUAAAGCGGGUGAAAAGCCCGCUCGCCGUAAGCCCAAGGUUUCCUGCUCUACGUUCAUCGGAGCAGGGUGAGUCGGCCCCUAAGGUGAGGCUGAGAAGCGUAACUGAUGGGAACAAGGUUAAUAUUCCUUGACCACCGCUGAAUGCGAAGGGGGGACGGAGUAUUGAAGAUCAUCCGGGUGUUGGAUAUCCCGGUUUGCGAGCGUAGGAGGCUGACAGGCAAAUCCGUCAGCGAAUCUCCGAGGCAAAGCAUCGAGCUCUCUUUUGAGCGAAGUGAUUGGAUGUGCUUCCAGGAAAAGCCUCUAAGCUCCAGUUCAGCGGGACCGUACCGCAAACCGACACUGGUGGGCGAGCUGAAUAUGCUCAGGCGCUUGAGAGAACUCAGGAGAAGGAACUCGGCAAAUUGACACCGUAACUUCGGGAUAAGGUGUGCCUUUGUAGCGUGGAGGGAGAAACACCCCGAGCGCGAAGAGGUCUCAGAUAAUCGGUGGCUGCGACUGUUUAUUAAAAACACAGCACUCUGCAAAGACGAAAGUCGACGUAUAGGGUGUGAUGCCUGCCCGGUGCUGGAAGAUUAAUUGAUGGGGUGCAAGCUCCUGAUCGAAGCCCCAGUAAACGGCGGCCGUAACUAUAACGGUCCUAAGGUAGCGAAAUUCCUUGUCGGGCAAGUUCCGACCUGCACGAAUGGCAUAACGAUGGCCACACUGUCUCCUCCUGAGACUCAGUGAAGUUGAAGUGUUUGUGAUGAUGCAAUCUCCCCGCGGCUAGACGGAAAGACCCCAUGAACCUUUACUGUAGCUUUGCAUUGGACUUUGAACCGAUCUGUGUAGGAUAGGCGGGAGCCUGUGAAACCACAACGCCAGUUGUGGCGGAGGCGUCCUUGAAAUACCGCCCUGAUUUGUUUGAGGUUCUAACCUGGGACAGUCAUCCUGUCCGGGGACCGUGCAUGGUAGGCAGUUUGACUGGGGCGGUCUCCUCCUAAAGGGUAACGGAGGAGUGCGAAGGUACGCUAGGUACGGUCGGAAAUCGUGCUGAUAGUGCAAUGGCAAAAGCGUGCUUGACUGCGAGACCCACAAGUCGAGCAGAUACGAAAGUAGGUCAUAGUGAUCCGGUGGCUCUGUAUGGAAGGGCCAUCGCUCAACGGAUAAAAGGUACUCUGGGGAUAACAGGCUGAUACCGCCCAAGAGUUCAUAUCGACGGCGGUGUUUGGCACCUCGAUGUCGGCUCAUCUCAUCCUGGGGCUGUAGCCGGUCCCAAGGGUAUGGCUGUUCGCCAUUUAAAGAGGUACGUGAGCUGGGUUUAAAACGUCGUGAGACAGUUUUGUCCCUAUCUGCCGUGGGCGCUGGAAGAUUGACGGGGGCUGCUCCUAGUACGAGAGGACCGGAGUGGACUCACCUCUGGUGUACCGGUUGUCACGCCAGUGGCAUCGCCGGGUAGCUAUGUGGGGAA